rnacentral:rRNA from 1 species
UACGAAGGGGGCUAGCGUUGUUCGGAAUCACUGGGCGUAAAGCGCUCGUAGGCGGAUCUUUAAGUCAGAGGUGAAAUCCCGGAGCUCAACUUCGGAACUGCCUUUGAUACUGAGGAUCUUGAGUUCGGGAGAGGUGAGUGGAACUGCGAGUGUAGAGGUGAAAUUCGUAGAUAUUCGCAAGAACACCAGUGGCGAAGGCGGCUCACUGGCCCGAUACUGACGCUGAGGCACGAAAGCGUGGGGAGCAAACAGG